rnacentral:rRNA from 1 species
GAUGAACGCUGGCGGCGUGCCUAAUACAUGCAAGUCGAGCGAACAGACGAGGAGCUUGCUCCUCUGACGUUAGCGGCGGACGGGUGAGUAACACGUGGAUAACCUACCUAUAAGACUGGGAUAACUUCGGGAAACCGGAGCUAAUACCGGAUAAUAUAUUGAACCGCAUGGUUCAAUAGUGAAAGACGGUUUUGCUGUCACUUAUAGAUGGAUCCGCGCCGCAUUAGCUAGUUGGUAAGGUAACGGCUUACCAAGGCGACGAUGCGUAGCCGACCUGAGAGGGUGAUCGGCCACACUGGAACUGAGACACGGUCCAGACUCCUACGGGAGGCAGCAGUAGGGAAUCUUCCGCAAUGGGCGAAAGCCUGACGGAGCAACGCCGCGUGAGUGAUGAAGGUCUUCGGAUCGUAAAACUCUGUUAUUAGGGAAGAACAAAAGUGUAAGUAACUAUGCACGUCUUGACGGUACCUAAUCAGAAAGCCACGGCUAACUACGUG